GUCUCUCUAUUGUGUUCUGUCUAUUUCUCUCUCUACAGUAGACCCAUCCAUUUAUCUACUGUGUUCUAUUCUGCUCUUUGAACUCAAAUUCAUCAACCACAAGGUUAGGGCAAAUCUGGGAAUAAAAUCGUUGAUUUCUAUCUCAAAAACCCUUGCGCUCGCCCACCAUUCUCUACUUUCAUGGCAAUGCCGCUGAUCUAGGCCAGCUUUACGUCCUCUUUGUUCAGCUCAAAGCCAAUCUCAGAGUCAAUCUCAUUGGAGGGUUUGAGCUAGGAAGAGAUCAACCUCAACUGAGAGCAACAAGUCUACAUAAAGGGUUUGAAAGUUGAGAUGGGCUGGAAUUAUGGUUGCUUUUGCUUGCUCUAUGAUCUAGUGAGGAGCAUUUGGUUGUGUUGAAGGAACCAUUCAACUAGAAGUGAUCGAGUGUUGGAUUUUUAUGGGGUGAUACUAGCUGCUCUUUUUU